UGCUAUGACCCAGGUGUGGGAAACUGUGCAACUGUGCCAAGGAAUGCUUUGCAGAAAAAGGAUGAGUGGACUCUUGAAGCACUUAGGAGGCAGCAAGGUUGAGAGUAGAGGAAAACCCUCAAAGGUAAACAUGGGGAAUGAAGAAUGAAGCUGGCUGGCAGUUCUGGGGUCAGCUCUGGGAAGGCCUUCCUGCCACUCUGAGAAUUUGUACAUGGCCUAAAGACCACAAAGAGCCAUUUAGGGAAUUUGAAUAGAC
rnacentral:lncRNA from 1 species